rnacentral:rRNA from 1 species
AUUGAACGCUGGCGGCAGGCCUAACACAUGCAAGUCGAACGAGCGGCGGACGGGUGAGUAAUGUCUGGGAAACUGCCUGAUGGAGGGGGAUAACUACUGGAAACGGUAGCUAAUACCGCAUACCAUCAGAUGUGCCCAGAUGGGAUUAGCUAGUUGGUGGGGUAACGGCUCACCAAGGCGUCGAUCCCUAGCUGGUCUGAGCGGAUGACCAGCCACACUGGAACGGAGACACGGCCCAGACUCCUACGGGAGGCAGCAGUGGGGAAUAUUGCACAAUGGGCGCAAGCCUGAUGCAGCCAUGCCGCGUGUAUGAAGAAGGCCUUCGGGUUGUAAAGUACUUUCAGCUGGGAGGCGUUACCCACAGAAUAAGCACCGGCUAACUCCGUGCCAGCAGCCGCGGUAAUAC